AUGAGCACUCCUUCGCCGAGGCGAUCGAAGACGCUCCUCUGCUCGGUGUCCGUUCUUUGAGGACAUCGGCAGAGAAAUAGAUAAAAUGAUGUAGAAACAUUAAAUACAUGGGUACCUUGUACCGUGUGCGUCCUGGCGCCGAGACUCCGUUCUUGGAGGGCGUCGACAGAGAAAUCCAAGAAUAGGUAAUGUAAAGACAUUAAAUAAAUAGGUACCUUGUACCGUGUGCGUCCUGGCGCCGAGGCGACUGAAGACGCUUCUCUGCUCGGACUCCGUUCUUGGAGGGCGUCGACAGAGAAAUCCAAGAAUAGG
rnacentral:lncRNA from 1 species